UUUUUAUAUAUAUAUUUUGGGAGGGGUAGUGGGUGGGAUGGAGAAAUACUCAAUCAGCUUAAGCCAGAAUAAUGUGUGUAAAAGCCCCUGAAGUAUUUUGUGUGUGAGUGCGCGGGUGUGAGUGCGCGCAUGGGAGUGUCUGACAUCUUAUAUUCCCUUUGUGUUCUGAAGAUUGGUGAGUUUUACUUUUUAUUUUUUUUUCCUGCAGAAGCAAUUGUUACAAAAAGUUGUAAAUAAGAGCUCCAUAAUUUUUGUUUAACCAUGAACAUCAUGUCACAGCAAACCCUGAAUAAUCACUUGGAAGGUAGAGGAGGAGACUCCAGAGCAGACAUUAAAGGGGGCAGCUGCAAACAGCGUUCCAGUGCUGCUGGCCCACGGUCGGGGUGUGUGCGGAGACGUGACUGUCAUCACCGGGCCCGAUAGGGUUGGCGGCUCUUGCAAUACCUUGACAAUACUGAGAUCUACCGCAUG